rnacentral:rRNA from 1 species
GAUGAACGCUGGCGGCGUGCCUAAUACAUGCAAGUCGAGCGAACGGACGAGAAGUUUGCUUCUCUGAUGUUAGCGGCGGACGGGUGAGUCCUACGUGGAUAACCUACCUCUAAGACUGGGGUACCUUCACGAAAUCGGAGCUACUACCGGAUAAUAUUUUGCACCGCAUGGUUCAAGCGUCAAAGACGGUCUUUCUUUCACUUAUAGAUGGAUCCGCGCUGCAUUAGCUAGUUGGUAAGGUAGCGGCUUACCAAGUCGACGGUGGAUAGCGGACCCGAGAGGGUGAAUGAGCACACGGGAACUGAGACACGUCCGCGACUCCUACGGGAGGCAGCAGUAGGGAAUCUUCCGCAAUGGGCGAAAGCCGGACGUUGCAACGCCGCGUGAGUGAUGAAGGUCUUCGGCUCGUAAAACUCUGUUAUUAGGGGAGAUCAAAUGUGUUAGUAACUGUGCACAUCUUGACGGUACCUAAUGAAAAAGCCACGGCUAACUACGUG